rnacentral:tRNA from 1 species
UCCCUGGUAGCUCAGCGGUAGAGCAUCCGACUGUUAAUCGGCAGGUCGUAGGUUCGAAUCCUACCCGGGGAGCCA